UGGGGGAUAUUGCACAAUGGGGGGAACCCUGAUGCAGCGACGCCGCGUGGGUGAAGAAGCGCCUCGCGCGUAAAGCCCUGUCAGCAGGGAAGAAAAUGACGGUACCUGAAGAAGAAGCCCCGGCUAACUACGUGCC
rnacentral:rRNA from 1 species